GUGCUUAUUUUGGAAGCACAUCUGCUAAAAUUGGAAUGAUACAGAGAAUAGCACGGCUUCUGUGCAAGGAUGACACACAAAUUUGUGAAGCGUUCCAUAUUUUA
rnacentral:snRNA from 1 species